UACAGAGGUCUCAAGCGUUGUUCGGAAUCACUGGGCGUAAAGGGUGCGUAGGCUGCGGAGAAAGUCUGGUGUGAAAUUUGCGAGCUCAACUCGCAACUAGCACCUGAUACUACUUUGCUAGAGAUCUGGAGAGGAGCUUGGAAUUCUCGGUGUAGCAGUGAAAUGCGUAGAUUUCGAGAAGAACGCUCGCUGCGAAAGCGAAGCUCUGGCCAGAUUCUGACGCUGAGGCACGAAGGCUAGGGGAGCAAACGGG
rnacentral:rRNA from 1 species